UACGUAGGCAGCAAGCGUUGUUCGAAGUUACUGGGCGUAAAGAGUGCGUAGGUGGUGCCCUAAGUCUGUUGUGAAAUCUCCCGGCUUAACUGGGAGGGUGCGGUGGAAACUGGGGUGCUUGAGUGUGGGAGAGGUAAGCGGAAUUCCUGGUGUAGCGGUGAAAUGCGUAGAUAUCAGGAGGAACACCGGUGGUGUAGACGGCUUACUGGACCACGACUGACACUGAGGCACGAAAGCGUGGGUAGCAAACAGG
rnacentral:rRNA from 1 species